rnacentral:lncRNA from 1 species
AAACAAAUAAAAUUUCAUCGCUCUAACCCCAUACUUUAUAUUAUUAAACCACGAAAUACCACGAUUUAAAGGGGAGACUUCUGAGUUUUUAUGGGGAAUCCAGAGAAGAUACAGAGGGUGAGGGAGCUUCUGCUGAAAUGAGAGAGAGUGAAGUAGAACACAGAGGAGAGAGGAGGUGUGGGACUGCUCGUUUUGGCUGAGAGGGUGUAGGUAAGAGGCAGAAAUCAAAGAGAGAGGCUGAAUCGAGAGAGGAAGAAUAGAAGAGGAAUUAUAUUAAGAGAAGCUCACCGGUGAGAAAGAAAUCUGUAUACAGGUGAGAAUUUGUUUUCUAAUGAUGUAAUUGCUGAGGAUAUUGAACUUGAAAUUUGAUUCGAUAAUGAGAAUGGAGUUUUUAUUUUUGAUUCCUAAGACUGAUUCUCAAAUAGAACAUGCUGUUUUUCUAUUCUUAUCUUUAAUUAAGGUUUGAUUUUCUUUUGAUCUCUCUAUUGAUGAACGUAGAUUCAUAAGUUUGGCUGAUCGAUUUCUUUAUAUUGAUAAAACAGGACAAUGUUGCAACCUUGGUUUGGUUUAAUAGCUAGCAUUUCUUACCCUUGCUUAUAUAGAAAAUGUAUAUUUUAUUCGUAAAUGGUCGUUAUCUUUCAAUUAAUUCUGCUUCCAUAAAUCUAAGGUCAGGAUACCGUUAGAGUGGCCUUUCUCUUUGUAUGAAUCUGUGAAUGUGGGUUAGGUUACAACUGAGUCUGAAUAAAUCUAAGGUUACCCUUGCUUAUUAGAUAUUUUAAUUUUCGGCUCCGGUAAAUCAAAGGUCAAUUAAUGUUAGAGUGAUCUUUCUGUUUGCAACAAUCUGUGAAUGUGAGUUAGAUUAUAACAGGGUGUUAAUAAAACUGAGACUUUCAGAUGAAUGCAUGCCAAAUUCUCGUAUUAAUUUGUUGAUUUUAUGUUCUAUUACUGGACUUUGAGAACAUGGUUUUCUGGUUUGCCUUAGUUCUAAGGGUAGCUUAUGUGAUGCUGAUUCUGUCUAUGUUAAGAGUGUUCACUUAAUCAUGAUACUUUGGGUUAGCGCCUUUUUUUUGGGUAACAAAGAAUGUUUUGAAUUUGAUCAGUGAUAUCUAGUGCUAUUUGACUUCUUUGCUUCCAUUUUUUCAGUGUUAUUGAUUCCCUUUUGAUUACAGGUUGGUUUGGCUUUAAUGCAAGGGUUUAUUUCACUUUUUAUAUCAGUAUACUUAUCUAUUUUUGGAUGUAAUCUCUUUUCAUUUACUGUUCUAUGCAUUAGGCAGUCGUGGAUUGUUCUAAUC